UCCUACGGGGGGCAGCAGUGAGGAAUAUUGGUCAAUGGGCGGGAGCCUGAACCAGCCAAGUCGCGUGAGGGAAGACGGUCCUAUGGAUUGUAAACCUCUUUAGGCGGGGAGCAAUGCCGGGCACGCGUGUCCGGAGGGAGAGUACCCGCAGAAUAAGCAUCGGCUAACUCCGUGCCAGCAGCCGCGGUAAUACGGAGGAUGCGAGCGUUAUCCGGAUUUAUUGGGUUUAAAGGGUGCGCAGGCGGAAUGUCAAGUCAGCGGUAAAAUUUCGGGGCUCAACCCCGUCGUGCCGUUGAAACUGGCGG
rnacentral:rRNA from 1 species